UACGAAGGGGGCUAGCGUUGUUCGGAAUUACUGGGCGUAAAGCGCACGUAGGCGGAUACUUAAGUUAGGGGUGAAAUCCCGGGGCUCAACCCCGGAACUGCCUUUGAUACUGGGUAUCUGGAGUCCGAGAGAGGUGAGUGGAAUUCCGAGUGUAGAGGUGAAAUUCGUAGAUAUUAGGAAGAACACCAGAGGCGAAGGCGGCUUUCUGGAUCAUAUCUGACGCUGAGGCGCGAAAGCGUGGGGAGCAAACAGG
rnacentral:rRNA from 1 species